CAUUACUUUAGUUCCCCUUAUAUACUUAGGAUCUUAAUUUUCUCAAAGAGAUUCUUGAGAUAGUAGAGCUUCGUGUUGAUAACGUGUUAUGAAAUAAUACAAGAACAAGAAAAAUAUUGCAGAGAAAGUAGGGAGAGGAGAAUUCUUAUUGAUAUUUUUGGGAUGAUUUACAAUGAGGUAAGACCCCUCUAUUUAUAGGAAGAUAAAAGACUUAGCCUCAAAGUAAGACUCUUCUAUAAGAUAGACAUUCACUCUAAUUAGAGUUCUAUUUAUAACAUGUACGUUGUUUUAAUUUUUUUAGGAAAAAUUAUACUGUAUAGUCGCUCUCAAAAUAAUAGUUGAAAUAUAUAUAUAUAUAUAUAUACACAUAUUUGUAUGUUGUACAAAAAAAAUAUACAAAUUAUAUACACAUUUAUAAUUAUCCAAUAUAAAUAGUUUUUGUCACUGGCUAAAAGCAAUAGUUCCCGUUCCUUUUUGUAUGAUCACAACGAAAAAGCGAGAAAGGACAAUAAUGGGUCUAUAUGUCAUCAAUUAAGCAUUUCUUGUAACAAAAGUACAGUUUGGAGUGAUAUAAUUCCAUUCCCUGAACCUGAAGUUGGUGCACGAUCUCAAAAAACUACCCGUAAACAAAAAAAUUAAAGAAAAAUACACCUAGAUGCUCAAUAAAACAACGGGAAGGAAAGAAAGAGGAAAAAAAAGCUUUGCUUUAUUAUAUGAAAUUAAUAGCAAUCCACUAACUACACAAUAUGUACUGAAACAUGAACAUGAUAAAGCAUCAAUAUGGAGAUGGUGGGGGUGGAAAUACUCCUGGCCUAACUCUGUAGCGAUCUUUUGGGGCAGGAACAGGAACAAGUAAUAACGGACUAAUAAUUGAACCGGCUCUCGGCGGUGGAGGAGGCGGCGGAGCAGCUCUCCUCAUCUCGGCAGAAACAGCCAGUGGCCAAAUUCCUAAACCUAAAGAGGCUGUGUUUAUGCAGCUAUUUUGAAACUUGGCCACUUCUUGUAUAACAAUUAAUGCAAUGAUAUAAGUUAUAAUCAUCCUCAUACUUUAAAAUGGAAGCUGUAAUUUCUUCUCUUUUUGCUGAUAUCUCUAAAAGCUUAUUAUUGGAAGUAUAUAUUGGAAUGAACUAUAACUCUAUUUGAUUCGUCAGAAUUUAUAAUUCAAGCCUUGCAUACUAGGAGGGCAUGAAUUAGUCAAAGACUAUGAAAGAAGAAACAACAUAGCAAAUUCAUGAAAUUCUAGGACUUAUAUCAAUUACAACAACCUUGAAUUAGUCUUCUUUCCGUGGGUUGUUUGUCUCAGCUCUAUUUGUUGUUGCUCUUUCAAUUCUAUGCUAUUCUUUA
rnacentral:lncRNA from 1 species